rnacentral:rRNA from 1 species
UACGUAGGGUGCGAGCGUUAAUCGAAAUGACUGGGCGUAAAGGGUGCGUAGGCGGUUUGCUAAGACGGAUGUGAAAUCCCUGGGCUCAACCUAGGAACAGCAUACGUGACUGGCAGGCUAGAGUAUCGAAGAGGGGGGUAGAAUUCCACGUGUAGCAGUGAAAUGCGUAGAGAUGUGGAGGAAUACCGAUGGCGAAGGCAGCCCCCUGGUCAGAUACUGACGCUGAGGCACGAAAGCGUGGGGAGCAAACAGG